ACGUACACUCCUGCGGGAGGCAGCAGUGGGGAAUAUUGGACAAUGGGCGCAAGCCUGAUCCAGCCAUGCCGCGUGAGUGAUGAAGGCCCUAGGGUUGUAAAGCUCUUUCACCGGUGAAGAUAAUGACGGUAACCGGAGAAGAAGCCCCGGCUAACUUCGUGCCAGCAGCCGCGGUAAUACGAAGGGGGCUAGCGUUGUUCGGAUUUACUGGGCGUAAAGCGCACGUAGACGGACUAUUAAGUCAGGGGUGAAAUCCCGGGGCUCAACCCCGGAACUGGCUUUGAUACUGGUAGUCUUGAGUUCGAGAGAGGUGAGUGGAAUUCCGAGUGUAGAGGUGAAAUUCGUAGAUAUUCGGAGGAACACCAGUGGCGAAGGCGGCUCACUGGCUCGAUACUGACGCUGAGGUGCGAAAGCGUGGGGAGCAAACAGGAUUAGAUACCCUAGUAGUCCCAUGA
rnacentral:rRNA from 1 species